CAUGGGACCCGCCACCACCCCAUGUGGCAGAGAGAGAGUGGAGGCAGAGGCGCGGAUAAUACAAUUUCAGGAGGCAGAACAGCUGGAUUUGGGUGCGGCACGCCCUGGUUUUUCGAGGUUUGUCUAAAACCUGUGCUAACUUGCAAUGGGAGUUACAUCCAGUACUGAUUCAGGGGUGCAGCAGUUGUCUGGAAGUACACAACACUUUUUAGAUUAUUUGGAAAGCGGCCAAGAUGGAUUCUGUAUGGGAAGUGCUUGAAAUGAGCACAUUUCAGUCUACAGGAAUUUUGAUGUUUGACUUUUUCACCAGAAAGAAAAGCUAUAAGAGGAUAUUUAUGGAUUACCAUCAGAAAAUGAUUGCAGCAAGGUUCCUGAGUCAGAAGCCAUACUGACUGGUGCCAGCCUCCUUUGGCCAGUGCACCUUGGAGAAGAGAUGCUUAUCUAGACAGCUGGGAUCAUCUUCCCCAGAUGCUAUAACCACAGCCAGAGGGAAAAAGCUAACAGUACGAUGACCAGACUGAAGCUAUGAUGUAAGCUGCUGCAUCUUGAGCAGUACUGAAUCUAGGACUUGCAGAAUUCCAGGAACUGGCCUCAAGGAAAUGGGAACAAACAGACCCUGGAGUUGAAGACUGACUGUGCUUAAAACAAUCGAGACGACACUGAUCAGACCACCAUGUGACCAGUUUCAGAAGGCUUGUCAGAGCUGACUGUGCUGUUCUGCACACCCCUGAAACUUCCCACUUUUCCCUAUAAAACCCUUGUCCCUCUAACCGGCAAGGGGGAGAUACUUUGGGGGACAACAGUCCGCCAUCACCCCACGUUACCAGCUUGCUGAAUAAAGCAUCUUUCUUUUUCCACCACC